rnacentral:misc_RNA from 1 species
GCUGGGUUUGGGUGGUGUUUCUUUCUAUUUAUCUUUUGUUGGUGUAGCUAUUGUUUGUUCUCUUUUGGCACUUGUUGUGUAGCCACUAGAAGAAUAUUUGUAACCCUCUUAUUAUUAUAGUGAAGCAAUUCGGAUCUUGUUGAUUCCGUGGUAUUUACCUUUAGUUUGAAGGGGUUUUCCACGUUAAACUUGAUGUUCUUUGUUGUUAGAUUUUUGGUUUCAUUUUUUCGUCACAACAACUGGUAUCAGAUCUAAGGUUAUCUAUAUGG